rnacentral:ribozyme from 13 species
AAAAAAAAAAAAAAAAAUACAACAACAAAAAAACAAAAACAAAACAUUACUUUUUUUCCUUGGGGUCAUGGAGUGGGCAAGUUUCGUUUCAUUUUCAUUUUUCAUUUUCAGAAGAAAUCCCUCCACCUUCAUUCCCUUCGCGGUGCAGUCGCCAAAAAAUAGGG